AUGGAAUAUGUGGUAUUGUCUUUUCAAUUUUCCCUCAUUACUCUGUUUCCACUCCCAACCCAAAACUCUCAUCUUGUUCUCACAGUUCUCACUCACCGCGCUCAACAACAAUUUCCUCCAUCCAGCGUCUUAGUUAGGGUUUAUCUAUCAGACACAUCUCUCACACCGAAAACCCUCUCAACAAAACCCUACUCUUCCCAAAUCGCGAUUCCCCCUUCUCUUUUCGCGAUUCCCGUUUGUCUUCACAGAGGGUUCCGUUUCAAAAUCGAAAAACUUAAAUUAGUUUCUUUUUAUUCAAAGAAUUUAUCAAGGUUUCCGCGUUUUUGUGUUGCGGGGUUUCUUGAUUGA